rnacentral:rRNA from 1 species
UACGUAGGGGGCGAGCGUUGUCCGGAAUCAUUGGGCGUAAAGCGCGUGUAGGCGGCCCGGUAAGUCCGCUGUGAAAGUCCAGGGCUCAACCCUGGGAUGCCGGUGGAUACUGUCGGGCUCGAGUCCGGAAGAGGCGAGUGGAAUUCCUGGUGUAGCGGUGAAAUGCGCAGAUAUCAGGAGGAACACCAAUGGCGAAGGCAGCUCGCUGGGACGUGACUGACACUGGAGGCGCGAAAGCUAGGGGAGCAAACGGG